AUGUAUGAAUAACGGUGAUCUGCUACAGAGGGUACAUUUAGCUAAUCCCGUGAACAGGUGACAGUCGAGCGCAAGUCAAGCGAACCAAACCACCCACGUUUAGCGUCGUUAACCGUUAACAGCCGUUAAGAGAGAGCACAUCACCGAUUAGAAAAACACAGCAUGGGUGGAAUAAGCAAAUCCAAUGACAGGGCUAGUUAGGCAACGGCCGUUUCCAUUGAUGAGCUCGCGCGUCCAACGGCCAACUGGCGAAAUCAGGUCUCGCGCACUGGCUGACGGCUCUAACUUGACACCGCAGACGACAAAGCUCCAGUGUUAGCGUCGUUGAUGGACCCACUGCUACCACAGCCGCGGAGGACAAUCGAGGGGGGGAACCGCCUGAUGAAGUGCGUGGAAGGUGGCGGAAAAUAACGGCGCAGGUCCUUUUAUAACCUCCCCAGUGACUCCUCCUCCCUGACUCCUCCUGCACCAGGAUUGCGUCAACGGCGGGAUGUAUCACGUGCUUUCUAGAAAAGUACAUUGUGGCAAGGUUCCAUUUCGUGUCCCAUUAAAUUUUACUACGUCGUUCACAAAACCAGGCACGUAUAACUGUUGAAUAUCGCACCUAAUAGUCAGUUUAAGACAAAUCGUAGUGAGCUGUUCUCACGCUGCUAGGAUAAAGUUGUUUGAAUCCUCGAAACAUUUCCACGAGAAGUCCAAUAGAACAUGGAACUGUGCAGUUCUAACGGAAUGGUACGCAUCCACCGCGGUCUGUUUUGUUUGAGGCCUCGAAAUGGGAUGCCCGGAGCAGCGCUGCGGGCUUCCUUUGGCGUCUUGCACAGCCUUCAGGGGUGUCUGCUACAUUCCAGCAGGGGAAAAACACACCAGGGGGCGGGACGAGCAGGAGGCGGACGCCACACAUCCCACACGUAACAGGCGUAACGAAUGCUGCCCGAGGACAGAGUUCGGUGGAAGUGACUCCACGGAGACGAGGAGGGACGAUCCCUUAAGAGGAUCAGGUUACAGCAGGCAAUGAGGUCAUUUCAGUGGUUGAUGUUAUUCAAGUAGAUUCUUACAUCAUGUUGGUUCAUAAAAAAUUAUGUAUAAAUUAUAUGUGGAAAUGUUUUUAGUUUAGAAAGCAAGACUAUAAUUAGUGUGUAAUUAUAGUGACAGACAAUUGGUUUGACACAAAGCAGCUGGAUACAAAUAAACAAGCUGUGUUGAUGGUGAAAAGUAUGAAAAUACUUACAUGUACACCGAUAGUAAAUUAGUAAUAACAUUAUAACAGUACAUUAUAUUAACCUUUGUAGUGGUUAAACUAUACCACUUACUAGUAUAUAAAUUUGUUAUAACUUAUUUAUAAAACAAAGCAAACAUUAUAAUUACCUUCAUAUUAAGUACCACAAUAUAGUUUCUGUUAUCCUUUAGUUCCUGUUCACAUUUUCAGCUUUGUAUAAUGUUACUGUUUACAUGGCUCCACGUUGACGUGGGCGUUGCAUUAUUAAACUACAGAAAGACUGAUGUCAUGGCAGAGCUUCGGAGCUGGAUUGCAUCACACUGUACGUUUAAAAAUGUAUCGAUAGAAACGCGACGGAAGUGAAAUGCAUCAUAUUCCUUCACGUCCCAACGCAGAGGCAAUAAAGAUGUUCUAUUACAAAAUGUACCGCUCAGACUUUAUUACAGUCUUGAGGUGCAGCGUUAAAGGUCAUGUGGCAACCCCAGCGUGACCCAGGUGUGUCCUGUGUGCAGGAUCACACCUGUUGUUUACAUAAUCGAGAACAUUGUGACUGAUACCUGCCCCUAAAUCCCCACAACAAUCUUGUUUCAAGUGUGUUCAUGGCUGCCGUUGACCCAAUCAUUCAGAGCUGAGCUUAUUCAAAACAAAAACUCUCCCUGUAUUCAUCAAGUACAGUCUGGCCCGUUUCUUACAUAACCAGCUUAGCUGACUCAUUAACCCGAAUCAGGACUGCAUGACUAGAACUGGGACGUUGGGUUGAUUUCAUAAUGACCACAGCAUGAACUGGAUUCAAGCGUUUCCUCCAGUCGGGGCUUCUGGAGUGUGGCGCCCCCCAGUGGACACUCGCAGACGUGAUCUUUUGAACAUGUGCCGCCGUCUAACUUUUGUCAUGUGAGGUUCGAGUCUCGUGUGGCCUUCAGCUGCCAACAGCGUCUGCAAUGAACACCUGCAGCGUUGACACCGGAGAAGCUGCCUGGUGGCCUCGGGUUCUCAGUCAACGGCACAGACUGGAUAAUGUCCGACUACCGUGCUGUUACUGCAUUUAGUCCUCAGCCACCUGAACCCAAAAUGUAUUCAUUUUAUUUAUUUAAAUCUAAACUUACAUAAAAAUUCUAUACUAUAUGUCCAGUAGUGGUGUGAAGAAAUUUUCAAAACAGUAACCGUAGAGAAUCAUUUUAAUGCAACAACAUAGCAAUUUUUUUACAUGUACAGAAGGAAAUCGUACAAAUUUUAGCUCAAUAGAAAGAAAGUCAAGCUUCCUGGAAUGAUUUGAGAUUGAAAUGAAGUAGAAAAACAAGGACAUGAACAUAAACAUACAGCUCUCUCUUAAUACUGUGCUCUGAUAAAAUGAAGAGUUUAAGGAGCAGACUGCCUUUGAGACAUAGUUCUUAGUUUCAACCUACCGUAUGUGGCUAAAAUAGAUUACAGUACUUAAAUAUAAAAAUAGACUCUUUUCUGCAUUUGUUCUUUAAGUUCUCUGCUGCAGUCUUCUUGAUGGACGGAUGUGUUGGUCUCGCGCGUGUCCACGGUGGUCCCUCAGUGGCACAUCCGAGAGGUCAUCUCCUUCUGUAGGAAACAACAGCCCAGAGCAACGUGACUUACAGCUACGUAGGGAUUUGUACUCGCAAUCCUACGAAGGUCGACAAAGAUGAUAAGAAAAACUGAAGGUUGAGAAAGGACAAUAAAUGGGUUUGUACUAAGAGUGGGGCCCCAUUUCAUAGUCUAACUAUGAACACAUUAUAAGCAUUAGCACAAAUCAGCAUUAGGGCAAAUACUAUAUAAUAAGUAGUUCGCCCCAUGUAAAGACUGAUCGGUCUGAGCUUUGGUCACAUAGGCCCAGUUUAGAGUACCGCAUAUGUUAAACACACAAACAACAUGGUCCCUAUAGAGGGUGGAGGAAUCGUAAAUCAAUUAAUGAUCAGCCUACAAUCAGUGUAACACUGUAGCAGCCCAUCAACACUGUGCAGAGAAAAACAAUAGAGCUUAGUCUCUCAUAAUACAGUGCUAAGAAAAAAUUGGUCAGCUGUUAAUCUAUCUAAAUAUUAAAUUUAUUAAAUUAUUAAUAAAGUCCAAAGUUACUUUAUAUUAUA